GUGGGGAAUAUUGGACAAUGGGCGAAAGCCUGAUCCAGCCAUGCCGCGUGUGUGAAGAAGGUCUUCGGAUUGUAAAGCACUUUAAGUUGGGAGGAAGGGCAGUAAGUUAAUACCUUGCUGUUUUGACGUUACCGACAGAAUAAGCACCGGCUAACUUCGUGCCGGCAGCCGCGGUAAUACGAAGGGUGCAAGCGUUAAUCGGAAUUACUGGGCGUAAAGCGCGCGUAGGUGGUUCAGCAAGUUGAAGGUGAAAUCCCCGGGCUCAACCUGGGAACUGCAUCCGAAACUACUGAGCUAGAGUACGGUAGAGGGUAGUGGAAUUUCCUGUGUAGCGGUGAAAUGCAUAGAUAUAGGAAGGAACACCAGUGGCGAAGGCGACUACCUGGACUGAUACUGACACUGAGGUGCGAAAGCGUGGGGAGCAAACAGGAUUAGAAACCCCUGUAGUCC
rnacentral:rRNA from 1 species